UNCAAUAGAUGUUGAGGCUGUGAGUAGG
rnacentral:piRNA from 1 species